UUUCCGUAGGUGAACCUGCGGAAGGAUCAUUAUUGAAUGAACUUGACUUGGUUGCUGCUGGUCUUUUCGAAGGCAUGUGCACACUUUGUCAUCUUUAUAUCUCCACCUGUGCACCUUUUGUAGACCUGAAACCAAAUUUCCGAGGCAACUCGGUCGUGAGGAACUGCUUAACAGCUUUCCUUGUUAGGUUCCAGGGCUAUAUUUUCAUAUACACCAUAAGAAUGUAACAGAAUGUCAUUAUUAGGCUUAGUUGCCUUAUAAACUAUAUACAACUUUCAGCAACGGAUCUCUUGGCUCUC
rnacentral:misc_RNA from 1 species